CCUACGGGAGGCAGCAGUGAGGAAUAUUGGUCAAUGGCCGGGAGGCUGAACCAGCCAAGUCGCGUGAGGGAAGACGGCCCUACGGGUUGUAAACCUCUUUUGUCGGGGAGCAAAAGAAGCCACGUGUGGCGUCCCGAGAGUACCCGAAGAAAAAGCAUCGGCUAACUCCGUGCCAGCAGCCGCGGUAAUACGGAGGAUGCGAGCGUUAUCCGGAUUUAUUGGGUUUAAAGGGUGCGCAGGCGGAAGAUCAAGUCAGCGGUAAAAUUGAGAGGCUCAACCUCUUAUAGCCGUUGAAACUGGUUUUCUUGAGUGAGCGAGAAGUAUGCGGAAUGCGUGGUGUAGCGGUGAAAUGCAUAGAUAUCACGCAGAACUCCGAUUGCGAAGGCAGCAUACCGGCGCUCAACUGACGCUCAUGCACGAAAGUGUGGGUAUCGAACAGGAUUAGAUACCCUGGUAGUC
rnacentral:rRNA from 1 species